UCACAAUGAACAAAAAUCAGUGGUGGUU
rnacentral:piRNA from 1 species